ACUCAGUUCGCCGCGGCAAGCUUUUCUCACAACAACAAACAAAUCCUGUCGCUGACUUUCUCUCCCAGAUCGCUGAAUCUUCAACUAUCUUCUUCAAACCCAGCAUCUCUCUUUCAGUUCUCACUCACCUUAUGUCAAGAUCCUCCCGCUGUAUUGUAACUCUGGAAUUAAAAAUGCUAGCACCGAAUUGCAAUUGCCAGUAGCUAAUUUCUAUUUCUACUCUUGUAAAGUCAUUUCUAACUCUCAGCAACUUGUCAACUACACCAGGGUUUUGAUGAUGCAUUGAAGUUGUACUGGCUAUUACAGGUGAUGGAUCUGUUGUGAUCUCUGAUGAUCUUAAUGUUAUACAAGAGGGUUGUGCUAAAUUUCCAGCAGCAACUAUGGUUAAUAAUGUAAGAUUUACCUUGUGCAGCAACUAUGGUUACAUGAAUAGUUGGUUCCCUGAGGAGUUUUUAAUAGGUAAUUAUGUUAGCUGUGUGGAGUUUUUACGGGAUCUCCUGCUGACUGUGUUCUUAGCUUUCUGUUUGGUCUUGGGCGUUACGCGUAUGGGCGGCGCUUUUGUAUUGUUCUUGCUGCUAGCUUUUGCAUGUCUUGUGCAGGCUUAGUAUCUAAUAAAUUUGUUGAUUUACAAAAUAAUAGUUUAUUUUUAGUUUUCUGGAUUGUAUGAAUAUUAUUGAAAUCUUUAUGAUGAUAUGUCUCUUAA